rnacentral:rRNA from 1 species
CCUACGGGUGGCAGCAGUGAGGAAUAUUGGUCAAUGGGCGCGAGCCUGAACCAGCCAAGUCGCGUGAGGGAAGACGGUCCUAUGGAUUGUAAACCUCUUUUGUCGGGGAGCAAAAGACGCCACGCGUGCCGUUCCGAGAGUACCCGACGAAAAAGCAUCGGCUAACUCCGUGCCAGCAGCCGCGGUAAUACGGAGGAUGCGAGCGUUAUCCGGAUUUAUUGGGUUUAAAGGGUGCGCAGGCGGACGAUCAAGUCAGCGGUAAAAUUGAGAGGCUCAACCUCUUCGAGCCGUUGAAACUGGUGUUCUUGAGUGAGUGAGAAGUAUGCGGAAUGCGUGGUGUAGCGGUGAAAUGCAUAGAUAUCACGCAGAACUCCGAUUGCGAAGGCAGCAUACCGGCGCUCAACUGACGCUCAUGCACGAAAGUGUGGGUAUCGAACAGGAUUAGAUACCCUUGUAGUC